GUCAUGAAAAUGGAUUUGGAGCACUGUGGCACAUAACCGAAGACCUAUAAUUUUCGGUGCCGCGAUUUGACGAACGAUUGGUGAGUAUUAGCAAAAUCGGGCUGAACCGGGUUACGGAUGCCGUGGGAGGCCGAUUGCAAGUGUCGACAAGCAAUCGAAAAGCGAUUUGAGGUGGGUUGUGUUUACCGAAGCGACUAGGUCGCCUGUAUGUCUAAGAUGAGUAU
rnacentral:lncRNA from 1 species